AUACGUAGGGGGCGAGCGUUGUCCGGAAUGAUUGGGCGUAAAGGGCGCGUAGGCGGCCCGGUAAGUCUGGAGUGAAAGUCCUGUUUUUAAGAUGGGAAUUGCUUUGGAUACUGUCGGGCUUGAGUGCAGGAGAGGUAAGUGGAAUUCCCAGUGUAGCGGUGAAAUGCGUAGAGAUUGGGAGGAACACCAGUGGCGAAGGCGACUUACUGGACUGUAACUGACGCUGAGGCGCGAAAGUGUGGGGAGCAAACAGGAUUAGAUACCCUGGUAGUCCACACUGUAAACGAUGAAUGCUAGGUGUAGGGGGUAUCGACUCCCUCUGUGCCGCAGUUAACACAAUAAGUAUUCCGCCUGGGGAGUACGGCCGCAAGGUUGAAACUCAAAGGAAUUGACGGGG
rnacentral:rRNA from 1 species